GUUAUUGUAGCUUAAUAUAAAGCAUGGCACUGAAGACGCCAAGAUGGAUAUUAACAAACCCGAAUAACA
rnacentral:tRNA from 1 species